rnacentral:rRNA from 1 species
GAAUUGGAACCUGGGACUCGAUUGAACGCUGGCGGCAGGCCUAACACAUGCAAGUCGAACGGUAACAGGAAGCAGCUUGCUGCUUUGCUGACGAGUGGCGGACGGGUGAGUAAUGUCUGGGAAACUGCCUGAUGGAGGGGGAUAACUACUGGAAACGGUGGCUAAUACCGCAUAACGUCGCAAGACCAAAGAGGGGGACCUUCGGGCCUCUUGCCAUCAGAUGUGCCCAGAUGGGAUUAGCUUGUUGGUGAGGUAACGGCUCACCAAGGCGACGAUCCCUAGCUGGUCUGAGAGGAUGACCAGCCACACUGGAACUGAGACACGGUCCAGACUCCUACGGGAGGCAGCAGUGGGGAAUAUUGCACAAUGGGCGCAAGCCUGAUGCAGCCAUGCCGCGUGUAUGAAGAAGGCCUUCGGGUUGUAAAGUACUUUCAGCGGGGAGGAAGGUGUUGUGGUUAAUAACCGCAGCAAUUGACGUUACCCGCAGAAGAAGCACCGGCUAACUCCGUGCCAGCCGCCGCGGUAAUUA